AGCCAGACUCCUACGGGAGGCAGCAGUGGGGGAUAUUGCACAAUGGGGGAAACCCUGAUGCAGCGACGCCGCGUGAGUGAAGAAGUAUUUCGGUAUGUAAAGCUCUAUCAGCAGGAACGAGACAAGACGGUACCUGACUAAGAAGCCCCGGCUAACUACGUGCCAGCAGCCGCGGUAAUACGUAGGGGGCAAGCGUUAUCCGGAAUCACUGGGUGUAAAGGGAGCGUAGACGGCUGUGCAAGCCUGAAGUGAAAGGCGGGGGCCCAACCCCUGGACUGCUUUGGGAACUGCCCGGCUAGAGUGCUGGAGAGGUAAGCGGAAUUCCUAGUGUAGCGGUGAAAUGCGUAGAUAUUAGGAGGAACACCAGUGGCGAAGGCGGCUUACUGGACAGUAACUGACGUUGAGGCUCGAAAGCGUGGGGAGCAAACAGGAUUAGAUACCCCUGUAC
rnacentral:rRNA from 1 species